rfam:Brassica napus, WGS project CCCW01000000 data, contig: 3179
AUCAUGGUUCUAUUAAGAUCCACAAACAUAAAAACAUAAAAUUUAU